rnacentral:sRNA from 1 species
UUACGUCAUUUCUGACGUAGCGCCCUGCUCC